rnacentral:rRNA from 1 species
UGGAUCCAGACUUUGAUUAUGGCUCAGGAUGAACGCUAGCUACAGGCUUAACACAUGCAAGUCGAGGGGAAACGAUAUUGGAAGCUUGCUUCCGAUAGGCGUCGACCGGCGCACGGGUGAGUAACGCGUAUCCAACCUGCCCAUCACUUGGGGAUAACCUUGCGAAAGUAAGACUAAUACCCAAUGACGUCUCUAGAAGACAUCUGAAAGAGAUUAAAGAUUUAUCGGUGAUGGAUGGGGAUGCGUCUGAUUAGCUUGUUGGCGGGGUAACGGCCCACCAAGGCAACGAUCAGUAGGGGUUCUGAAAGGAAGGUCCCCCACAUUGGAACUGAGACACGGUCCAAACUCCUACGGGAGGCAGCAGUGAGGAAUAUUGGUCAAUGGACGAGAGUCUGAACCAGCCAAGUAGCGUGCAGGAUGACGGCCCUAUGGGUUGUAAACUGCUUUUAUAAGGGAAUAAAGUGGGAGUCGUGACUCCUUUUGCAUGUACCUUAUGAAUAAGGACCGGCUAAUUCCGUGCCAGCAGCCGCGGUAAUACGGAAGGUCCGGGCGUUAUCCGGAUUUAUUGGGUUUAAAGGGAGCGU